GAUGAACGCUGGCGGCGUGCCUAACACAUGCAAGUCGAGCGAUUUACUUCGGUAAAGAGCGGCGGACGGGUGAGUAACGCGUGGGUAACCUGCCCUGUACACACGGAUAACAUACCGAAAGGGAUGCUAAUACGAGAUAAUAUGCUUUUAUCGCAUGGUAGAAGUAUCAAAGCUUUUGCGGUACAGGAUGGACCCGCGUCUGAUUAGCUAGUUGGUAAGGUAACGGCUUACCAAGGCGACGAUCAGUAGCCGACCUGAGAGGGUGAUCGGCCACAUUGGAACUGAGACACGGUCCAAACUCCUACGGGAGGCAGCAGUGGGGAAUAUUGCACAAUGGGCGAAAGCCUGAUGCAGCAACGCCGCGUGAGCGAUGAAGGCCUUCGGGUCGUAAAGCUCUGUCCUCAAGGAAGAUAAUGACGGUACUUGAGGAGGAAGCCCCGGCUAACUACGUGCCAGCAGCCGCAGUAACAC
rnacentral:rRNA from 1 species